ACCUCGAUGUCAAUUUGACGUCAAAUUUCAGACAAGAUUUGAUCAAGAUGGUGCACCACAUCAUUUCAAAUUCAAAUCAUACAUUAAAUUCUUCAAGGUUUUUAAUGAGGUGAAAAUAUGAGGUUUAUCCCAUACUGAAAUUGGUUAAUGUAAGUAUAGCCCAAUAUGUUUGACAUUGAAAUGACGUCAAAUCAACGUUGCAUUAUAGGCAUUCAUUUGAUGUUGUAUUGACAUCAUAUUGACAUCAAUGUAAAUCCAGUUGAAAUAGCAUUUUUCUUCUAACUGGCCCCUCAAAAUGCAUCUAUUUGUCACAUCUUUUGAAGCAGUUGUUGGAUUUGUACAUGAAAGUGGACUGCUGUAACUUCUGUGGUAAAAAACACUUUUUUUAAAAGUAUGUAAAUACUCAUGCUGAAAUAAAAGGAAACAGUGAUUGUUAAAUUUUACAAGAAAAUAUACUGAUUUGCCAAUAAUACAUUCAGAUGUAAUUACAAUUUAAAAUAUUAAAAACAAAAGCAGCAUUUUUGCUGUAACCCCACAUAAAGUAUUAUGUAUCCUUAUUUUUGUUAUUUAUAGUGAUAUUAUAUUACUGUAAAAUUAGAAAAACAUUGCUGUAAUUGAAAAUACUCAUAAAAUUGUAAUACCUUAUAAUGUAUGUACCAUUUUUACAGUAUUACAACUUCAUGUUCAUUUUAGUCAAAAAACUCUUAUAAAUAUUUUAUAAAUUUUUAUUUUUCCUUAAUUUUUAUUAAUAAUCAUUAAUUAAUCAUUAAUUUUAUUAUGAAAAAUGUUGGGCCUACAAUGCCCAUUCAUUCUCUGUAGUUUUAAUGCCCAUUUAUUAUCUGUCUUAUGUAUUUCUUAAUACCACCUGUAGACGGCGCCAUGGCCUAUUUCACAUUUCCGGGUUUCUCAGCAGCUGAAGUUAGUGAAUGGACUACAACAAUUAAUUUAUUUUUUGUGUGAAAUUUGAUGCAAAUGUAGUAUAACAUAUUAUUUUAUACAUACACGUAAAAAUAUAAAAUUUAUAAAAAUAUUUGGAGGAUUUACUACGUUGACCGUUGAAACGUACGUCAUCACGUCUUGCGUAGAGGCCAGUGUUUGCUAUGCGGUCGAAGCAUUGGACAAGGUUGUCGCUUUUUAUCAGAAUUCUUACAAACAAAUUGAUGUCAACAAUGAAUAUGGAUGGCUCAGGAAUGAAGAAGGCCUUUGGAAAACACGGCUAUGUCGUGUUAUAAUAGGUGCACUACAGCAGUCCAAACCUUCAUUAUCAGAGGCUGAAAUAAAAAAAUACAGCUAAAAAAUCUCCGGUCUGCUCCCGAUAGAUGUGGGGGUAUGGGACGACAAAAGGGGAAAUCGUCGAUUGAUGUGUGUUCAGAUUCUGAAUAAGUAGGCCUUAAGCCAAUUGUUUAUCAAAAUUAUUUUUGUUCAUUUGGGAUAUGAUCUGGGAAAACCCAUCACAUGGUGAAAUAAAAAAUACUGGUUUUAGUAUCAUAUGAAAGCUAUUAAGCCCUUUCCAAAACUGUUUUUAUUUAAUUUACAAAUUGUUUUUAUGGAGUGGGUGGUCUAGUGGGUUAAACCACUGAACUGGUAAAUCAAAAGGUUGCUGGUUCUAUCCUAGUAGCCACCACCAGUGUGUCCUUGAGCAAGACACUUUACUCCAUGUUGCUCCAGGGGGAUUGUCCCUGUAAUAAGUGCACUGUAAGUCGCUUUGGAUAAAAGCGUCUGCUAAAUAACUACACGUAAAUGUAAAUGUUUUUAACAAAUGGAAAGGGCUUGAGAGCUUUCAUAUGAUAUCCAAACCUGUAAUAUGUACAAUUUUGUCAUGUGAUGGCUUUUUCCAGAUCACUUAAUAUUUAUAUAUCAAUUUAAAUGUUAAUAUUUAAUUAAAAAGUAAUUCAAGGAGGAUUUUAUAUUUAUUAGUGGUUUAAGAACAUUUUAAAUUUCUGGAAUUGUAGCUGAUUGUAUUUAAUAAAACAUGUCUUACAUUAA